rnacentral:lncRNA from 1 species
UGCCCUUUGCUUUCUCUAUAGGCAGACUCCAGUUGUCCACAAGAGGGCGCUGUAGAACCAGGGAAUCUCCGGAGGCUUCACUUCACUUCACCCGGAGGCAGGAUCGUUCCUAAAGGGUUUAAAUGGAAUGAAAGAGGGCCUGGAGGACGCACCCUGUUACAGACUCUCUGCUUCAGGCAGCACCUCCAGGCUCAGUCUCUGACCAUCUGUGGGUAUCUGUCCUUCUUCUCUGUAAGCUGUGAACUUCCCAGGGUCUGACCUGUGGUGCCGGAGACCUAGCACGCGUGAGGUGGACAGGCCUAAGCUGGCUGAGAGUGUCACUGGAGCACGGGAGUACUGAAACGUACGAGCUCUGGAAAGGAGUGCAGCACAUCAAGUUGUCAGCUGGGAUCUGGAGACCAGGAGUGCAAACACAGCGGGCGGAGUGACGCUGCCAGAGCCAUUCUGCUCUGAGAGACAGCAGGCAUUAGCAAAACCAACCGUUAGGUGCACAAGUGCCGUUUGUUAAUGCGCUGGGAGCCAGAGGACACUGAUGGGAGGAGAGGUCACACAAGCUUUACUGAGAAGUGUCACUAGCCUGGCAGACAAGACUGAAAAGGUGGGGGGCGGUGUUAGGGACAGCAGCAGAGAUUGUCCCUGUGCAAACACCUGGUCAGCAGUCGGGUCACUGGACUGACAUAGUUUCUGCUGUGCUGUGCUUGGAGAUGUGCCUCUCUGAGCCAUCACUUUACCAUCCACAGAGUGAACAAAUCGAUGUGUGUCGGGUGCAGACGUCGAAGCCCACGCCUGUAAUCCAGCACGUGUGGAUAUGAAGGCAGAAGAAUCAGAAAUGGAAGGCCAGUCUCAGCGCCGUGGUGAGUUCAAGAAAAAUAAAUGACGGGCCAGAGAGAUGGCUCAGCAGAUGAAGGUACUCGCCACCAACACUGACGACCAGAGUGCCACUCCAGGACCCAGAUGGUGGAAAGAGAGAACCAGCUGCUUAGGACUGUUCUCUGACCUCCACAUGCCCUCCCCCCUUUCCCUUUUCUCCGUCCCCCUCUUUCCCACUCCUACAUGAUUCUCUCACCCAUGGGGGGGGGGCCCAGCCCGGUGACCAUACCCUACUCAGGGUUUCCUUCUCCCGUGGCCCCCAAUCACAGGGAUGCAGUGAGCAUCCAACAGUCUGGCUCCAGUUCAGAUAUUAAAGCGCCAUCUUUAGGAACUGUCCCAGGUAGCUGCCAAGGGUACCCUAUCUCCCCACCCUCUGCUUUCACCUGAGCUCCUUAUCCUGGGCACAUGCUGGAGACAUGCUCAGCAGUCAUGAGCACGGCUGUUCUUCCAGAGGACCAGGGUUUGGUUCUUGGUACCCAUAGCUGGUGGUUCACAAAGCCUGUGACUCCAGUUCCAGGGGAUCCUAUGGUCUCUCCUGGCCUCUGUGGGCAGCACCACACACACUCUUGUUACACACAUUGUGGUGGUUUGAAUGAAAAUGGCUCCCAUAGGCUCAGAGGGAGUGCCACUGUUAGGAGAUGUAGCCUUAUUAAAGUAGAUAUGGCCUUGCUGGAGGAAGUGUGUCACUGGGGGUGGGCUUUGAGGUUUCAGAUGCUCAAGCCAGGCUCAGUCACACUCUCUCUUCCUGCUGCCUGUGGAUCCAGGUGUAGAACUCUCAGCUACUUCUCCAGUGCGUCUGCCUAUAUGCCUCUGUGCUUCCCACCAUGGUGACAAUGGACAAAACCUCUGAGCUAUAAGCCAGCUUCCUUUAUAAGUGUUGCCAUGGUCAUAGUGUCUCUUCGAAGCAAUGGAAGCCCCAUAUAAGACAC